ensembl:lncRNA
CUAGAUUCAUUUAUUCAUUUAAUAGUUAUUUACUGAGACACAGCUAUAUGCCAUUCCUUAUUCAAUGUGAUGGGGAUAUAAGAGAGAACAAAAUAGGAAAAGUUUCAUACUCAUGGAACUCACAUUGUACUGGGAACACUGAAUUUAUCUUUGCUAAAAUAAAUUAAGGCCAGACACCUACCCAAUAUCUAUUCCCCUUUCCUCCUCACUGAUGUUCUGAGAGUGGCAAUUUACCCACACAAAAACUUCUUUACCAUCCUUUGAAGACCAGGUGACCAAUGUUAUGUAAAAGAAAGUUGUUGAGUGAGGUCUCCAAGAAAGCUCUUUAAGCGGGGGGUGACUCUGUUAACCUAUAUUGCCAUUUAUCUUCCCCUUCCUCCUUCUUUCUGCCUGGAAACCAAAUACAAUGGCUGGGCUGCAGCCACUAGCUUGCUACCGUGAGAAUGGAAACCAUUCUUCAAGGAUGGUCGAGACGGAACCUGGAAGGAAACUGAGGCAUUGAUAACAUCGUGGAGCCAUUGCACUCCCCCUGGACUGCCUGCCUCCAGAUCUAAGUAAGAGGGAAAUACAUCUCCACCUUGUUUAAGACACUGUUCUUCAGGUGGUAGUACCAGCAACUGAAUCCAAUUCCUAACAAAUACAGUAGACAAUAGGGAGCUAUUAAAAUAUUUGAGAAGGAUUGAUAGAAGGACCAGAUGGGAGACUAGAAUGAUGCUUUGAGUGAAGGAAAACUUGAUCGCCUUACAGUGGUGUGGUAGAAGGUAGAGAAGAAAGCAUUACAAUGGAUGUUCCAGAUUUAUCUGAGGAAAGAGCCAAGGGAGAAAUCAAAGACAAGAUGAAGAAGGAAGCUAAAGGGAUUGAGAUUAGGUUAGAAACAUUGUCAGACAUGGGAAUGUUGAGGGAAUUUUAUUUGGUAAGGCAGGAAUUGAGGCUAUUUUGGAUAAACUGGUUCUUGGAAGCCAAUGAGAUGGCCAUGAGUUGAUGUGUAUGAAGCUCAAAGACAUUCAGGAAUGAAGUUCACAGAGAGGUCUGGAUCCAAGCUUAACAGUUAACACUCAUGCACACACUCACAGGAACACUCACCGUUACCACAGGAGGGUAAAAAACCAGAAAGUACUGAGCACUGGACCUUGAGGAAGAACAACCGUGAAGAGGCAGCAGGAAGAGAAGCCAGAGAUAUCCUUCUUCAACAGGAGACCCAGAAGAAUUCAGUGCCACAUAACUAAAAAAAGAGUGGUGUUUCGUGUGCCUGUGUACACUCAGCACAUUUGACUAAAAGAAGUCUUGGUGAUACGAAAUACAUGGUGGAGUAGGAUCCUUAAUGAUCUGUAACUCAUUGCCGGCUAAUUGGAAGUAAGGAAAACAGUGCUCCGUUUCAUAGCAUCAGCCUGCCUGAAAUGAUGGUAGAAGGCAGCAGGAGAGCAGAGACUGAACAAUCAAGGUUGCUGCUUGAGCAGACCACCUAUCCUGAACAAGGUGCCGCUGGCUUCGCUUGUAAACACUCCAUUUUCUACAAGCAGUUCUCCUAGGGGUUCCUUUGGUGUGGAUUAAGGCUGCCCCAGCCAGAGAAGCCCAAGGUGACCUGGCCUACAUGCCAAACUAUACGACCCAGUGGACUUUUUUUAUGGUAUGAAUUAGGACUGCCCCAGGGAGAGAAGCCCGGGGCAUCCUCACCUGCAUGCCGAUCUAAAUGGCCAGAUUCGUAUCUAAAGUUAUAUGACCGCAC